AUACGUAGGGAGCGAGCGUUGUCCGGAAUUACUGGGCGUAAAGGGUGCGUAGGCGGCAUGGCAAGUCAGAUGUGAAAUUCCCGGGCUUAACUCGGGGGGUGCAUUUGAAACUGCUGAGCUUGAGUGCAGGAGAGGAAAGCGGAAUUCCUAGUGUAGCGGUGAAAUGCGUAGAUAUUAGGAGGAACACCAGUGGCGAAGGCGGCUUUCUGGACUGUAACUGACGCUGAGGCACGAAAGCGUGGGGAGC
rnacentral:rRNA from 1 species